GAGAGCCGUGUGCAUUGAAAGAUGCAUGCCCGGUUCAAAGGGGGGGAACUCUCGUGAGAGAUGACCUAUCCCAAU
rfam:Amborella trichopoda AMTR_V1.0_contig_45263, whole genome shotgun sequence.